ACUUAAAUAGCUUAAAUAGAGCAUAACGUUGAAGGUGUUGGAGUGAUAAUUUUUAUCUUUAAGUA
rnacentral:tRNA from 1 species